rnacentral:rRNA from 1 species
UACGUAGGGUGCAAGCGUUAAUCGGAAUUACUGGGCGUAAAGCGUGCGCAGGCGGUUUUGUAAGUCAGAUGUGAAAUCUUAGGGCUCAACCCUGAAACUGCAUUCGAUACUGCGUGGCUCGAGUACUGGAGAGGAGACGUGGAAUUUGACGGUGUAGCAGUGAAAUGCGAUAGAUAUCGUAAGGAAGACCAGUGGCGAAGGCGAUGUCUCUG